rnacentral:misc_RNA from 1 species
GAAAUGCGAUAAGUAAUGUGAAUUGCAGAAUUCAGUGAAUCAUCGAAUCUUUGAACGCACAUUGCGCCCGCCAGUAUUCUGGCGGGCAUGCCUGUUCGAGCGUCAUUACAACCCUCAGGCCCCCGGGCCUGGCGUUGGGGAUCGGCGGAAGCCCCCUGCGGGCACAACGCCGUCCCCCAAAUACAGUGGCGGUCCCGCCGCAGCUUCCAUUGCGUAGUAGAAACACCUCGCGUGCGGAUAGCGGUGCGGCCACGCCGUAAAACCCCCGACUUUACCAAGGUUGACCUCGGAUCAGGUAGGAAUACCCGCUGAACUUAAGC